rnacentral:rRNA from 1 species
CCUACGGGGGGCAGCAGUGAGGAAUAUUGGUCAAUGGACGAGAGCCUGAACCAGCCAAGCAGCGUGAAGGAUGACUGCCCUAUGGGUUGUAAACUUCUUUUAUAUGGGAAUAAAACAGGGUAUGCAUACCCUCUUGUAUGUACCAUAUGAAUAAGGAUCGGCUAACUCCGUGCCAGCAGCCGCGGUAAUACGGAGGAUCCGAGCGUUAUCCGGAUUUAUUGGGUUUAAAGGGAGCGUAGGUGGUUUGUUAAGUCAGUUGUGAAAGUUUGGGGCUCAACCGUAAAAUUGCAGUUGAAACUGGCAGACUUGAGUACAGUAGAGGUGAGCGGAAUUCGUGGUGUAGCGGUGAAAUGCUUAGAUAUCGCGAAGAACUCCGAUUGCGAAGGCAGCUCACUGGACUGCAACUGACGCUGAGGCUCGAAAGUGUGGGUAUCAAACAGGAUUAGAUACCCGGGUAGUC